rnacentral:rRNA from 1 species
CUUCCGUAGGUGAACCUGCGGAAGGAUCAUUACCGAGUGCGGGCCCCUCGGGGCCCAACCUCCCACCCGUGUUGCCCGAACCUAUGUUGCCUCGGCGGGCCCCGCGCCCGCCGACGGCCCCCCUGAACGCUGUCUGAAGUUGCAGUCUGAGACCUAUAACGAAAUUAGUUAAAACUUUCAACAACGGAUCUCUUGGUUCCGGCAUCGAUGAAGAACGCAGCGAAAUGCGAUAACUAAUGUGAAUUGCAGAAUUCAGUGAAUCAUCGAGUCUUUGAACGCACAUUGCGCCCUCUGGUAUUCCGGAGGGCAUGCCUGUCCGAGCGUCAUUGCUGCCCUCAAGCCCGGCUUGUGUGUUGGGCCCCGUCCCCCCCGCCGGGGGGACGGGCCCGAAAGGCAGCGGCGGCACCGCGUCCGGUCCUCGAGCGUAUGGGGCUUCGUCACCCGCUCUAGUAGGCCCGGCCGGCGCCAGCCGACCCCCAACCUUUAAUUAUCUCAGGUUGACCUCGGAUCAGGUAGGGAUACCCGCUGAACUUAAGCAUAUCAAUAAG